UCGUCGUCCUGCUUCGGGGUUAUUUUCGGAAAUGUUCCCUCUAAGUGGCUUAAAGCUGUUCUCGUGUACAUCCUAUUUCUUCAACACCUAAGCGCCAGGACGGUCUUCAAUUUCUCAUCUCACCCUGUGCUCUCUCUCUUUCUCUCCUCUCUGCCUCUCUUUAGAUUCUUUUCGUAUGGAUCUCUCUGUUUCCCUUUGUUUUCUCACUAAGAUUGGAAUUAAAGCUGCGUAUUGUGGGCUGUUGAUUUUGUUCCUGUGUUUUUUUUUAUAUUCCAAGAGUUCUGGUCGAAUUGUACCCCCAAGUUGCUUCCACUAUAACUCUUCACACCACUGGAGAAGAUGACCAUUUGUAAUAGGAUAUUUGCCGCGUCUAUGAUCAGGUGUUGAGGUGUACUUUCUUUUGUCAAACACGUGGUGUGCAAUUCUUCAAUCUUCCCUUGUGUCUGUGUUGGUAGAUCUCUGUCGUUCCCUUUUAGGUUUGGAAUUAAAGCUAUGUAAUUUGGGUUGAGCUCAUUCUCAUAGGGUUGGAGUCAGUGCUGGAUAUGUAUCUUCAAAGAGCGACGAGUGUAAAACGUGGCUGCCAACGCUGUUGGACUCACUGUUUGCACAGUUCAAUUUUCUUUUUACGGCUGCUGGGUGAUUCAUUUUCUUCCUCCUGUUGUUCUCCGUGUUGGCGCUGCUGAAACGUAAAAUUACGAAUUCUGCUGAGAGGUGAGACUUGCUUUUGCUAAAAUUUCAUGUUCCUUGUUGUGGGCUACUCUGCUGACAAGUUCGACUUAGUUCUUUUAGUUAGCUUUCUCUUUCAUCUUGAUAAAUCUUAUGGCUCUACUUGGAUUAUGAACUGACAUAUAACGAACUACAUAUAUGAGUUAAGUUUUUAGUUAAAGCGGACAUAGGAUUAAUGGCAAUUCGAUACUAUAAAUGAUUCCAGGAUGAGGUGCCUCUUUUUGGUUUUAAUAUUUAAAAAGUGAUAACCAACUGCUUGGCAUAUUUUACUUCGUAGUUUGAUUUGGAUUAAGGUUUGGGAAGUUGGAUAAGGAAAGAGAACUGGCUUAUGCUGAAUCUGCGAUCCUGCAAGCAAUUGCAAACAGAACACUUUGGCCUUUUUUUAAGAAAGGAGAAGCAUUGACCUUUUUGUCCACAAUAUUGAUCUUUUGUACUUCUAAGUCCUAUGCGGAGAGAUUUUUAGUUCCAUCUGAAGGAGUGAAGGUAAAAAUUUUGCAAUAAUUAUUUGUUUGAACUAUCUUUCUCCCUAUUGGAAAUGAUUGUAUCCUCUAUAUCUCCAAACCAUAAACUGCAAAAUAAGAAUCGCAGGCUUGACUUGCUUCUUUAGCAUAUUGUUCAAUUUGUCUUUUCAGCGAACAUAAGGUCUGCGGCAAAUGUGAUAUCUCAAGAAUCUUACGUAGAAUUUUUUUUAUAGCACAUACACAAUUGCCAGGUUCUUAUCUGACAGAUCCAGAAUUGCAUAUGACAUUGCACAGAGAAGGCAGUUUAAAAAUACAGAAAUGGAUGAAAAUCUUCUAACUCAUAUUACAGUCAAUGAGACUGCAAUUCAUUUGUGCUAAAAACUAUGACAUGGAUUUUUGAAAAUGAUUGUAAACAAUGUAAGCACACAUCAAGUCUACUCGAUAAUGGUGCAGUUGUCGAGACUUUUUGACUAAAGAAUACAUGUGCUUCAAUAAAGUAAUAAAGUCCGAGAAUUCCCAGGAUAUUUUGUUUUUAUUUUGCUGAGCAUUAGCUUUUAACAACUAAUGGGAUGUAGGAAAAUUGUUGUAACCCAACAAGUUAAUGAACCCACUUGGUGUCAGCCAUUCAUCUUCACGUGCUAAUAUGGCCAUCCGGAUUUAAAACCUUCUAUGACAGACUUUUUCAAAAAAAGAAAUAGGUAAAGUGAACAUAUACGAAAAGGUCCUAAGAGGGUUGCCGCAAUGGGCUGUAGAGUCAAAUACUUGGCAACUAUAGCUGCAGGACAAUGCCAAAAUUGCUAUGUGUAAUGUGUUUAACGACCUUGAUUUGGCCAACAGAUUCCUAAGACCUUGUAGAUCCAUUAGCUAAUAUAUUGAUUUACAUCACCUAUCACCAUAUAUGUGACCUCUUCUUUCCGUAGUAUAUGCACAUUUUAAGCUCUCUAUGAUGGUUAUUUAAUUGUAAGAAUGCAUAUGGGCUUGUGAAUGUGUGACUGAUUUCAUGUUUCCAAAGAUCUCAUCUUUAUUUCAAGAUUAACUUGGGGCAAAUCUUCUUCUAACCCAUGCCCAAAAUAUAGUUAUAUGGUUUGGAAUGCAUGAUUAUGCUCUCUGCAACUGUGACAACCCCAUGAAGUUGGAAUAGCAUGCCAUGAAAGCAAUCAAGACCUUAAUCAGUGUCAGUUGAUUAACGGAAGCGUCUCUUAGGAAAUGUUUGACAGCAUAGUUGGAGAAGUUGUUGAAGAAAUUGAAGUACCUACAGAUACCCUUGUAACACCUAGAAUUAGUUGAGGUGCGCAUAAGCUGGUCCGGACAUCAUGAUUAUUAAGAAAUGGAAUAAUUCAUCAGAGAUACUUAAUUGGGGCUGCUGGAUAACGGAGAAGUAUGAAGCACAUAAUGAACGAGCUUGCUGACAAAUUCAACACUGCAUAUGACAGGCAUAGCAGGAGGGGUGGACAAGCUACUUUUGUUUGAAAAUUUAUAUAUUGACAAUUUGCUCUUAUGGAAUCUCCUAUGUAGCAGUAGCUACAUGUUUUGCUGAGUUUAGGGAUCACAUAGGAACCAAAGUAGUGUGUUUGCUUCUUUUCUCUCUUUAGUCUUAGUUGCCCAUACAUUAUAACCUUAAUUCUUGUUGCACCAUUAUAUACGUGUGUGAAAGUGGUAGAGGAUUUUGGCUUCAGAAGCUUUUACUCAGCAUGCUUGGGCCUGUUGUUGCCCGGUAGCUGUAGUGUUAUGCAUGUACUAAUUUAAUUUGAGAUUCUGGGCAUAUGUUCUUCCUUUCCCGCAACCCAACCCUUUUAAUACCAAGAUAAUCUUCAUCGUACUUUC